rnacentral:rRNA from 1 species
AUUGAACGCUGGCGGCAUGCUUUACACAUGCAAGUCGAACGGUAACAGGCCGCAAGGUGCUGACGAGUGGCGAACGGGUGAGUAAUGCAUCGGAACGUGCCCAGUCCUGGGGGGUAACUACUCGAAAGAGUAGCUAAUACCGCAUACGAUCUAUGGUUGAAAGCGGGGGACCGUAAGGCCUCGCGCGAUUGGAGCGGCCGAUGUCAGAUUAGGUAGUUGGUGGGGUAGAGGCUCACCAAGCCAACGAUCUGUAGCUGGUCUGAGAGGACGACCAGCCACACUGGGACUGAGACACGGCCCAGACUCCUACGGGAGGCAGCAGUGGGGAAUUUUGGACAAUGGGCGCAAGCCUGAUCCAGCAAUGCCGCGUGCAGGAAGAAGGCCUUCGGGUUGUAAACUGCUUCUGUACGGAACGAAACGGCUCUGGUUAAUACGCGGGGCUAAUGACGGUACCGGAAGAAUAAGCACCGGCUAACUACGUG